rnacentral:rRNA from 1 species
AUUGAACGCUGGCGGCAUGCCUUACACAUGCAAGUCGAACGGUAACAGGUCUUCGGAUGCUGACGAGUGGCGAACGGGUGAGUAAUACAUCGGAACGUGCCUAGUAGUGGGGGAUAACUACUCGAAAGAGUGGCUAAUACCGCAUGAGAUCUACGGAUGAAAGCAGGGGAUCGCAAGACCUUGUGCUACUAGAGCGGCCGAUGGCAGAUUAGGUAGUUGGUGGGAUAAAAGCUUACCAAGCCGACGAUCUGUAGCUGGUCUGAGAGGACGAUCAGCCACACUGGGACUGGGACACGGCCCAGACUCCUACGGGAGGCGGCAGUGGGGAAUUUUGGACAAUGGGCGGAAGCCUGAUCCAGCAAUGCCGCGUGCAGGAUGAAGGCCUUCGGGUUGUAAACUGCUUUUGUACGGAACGAAAAGCCCCGGGUUAAUACCCUGGGGUCAUGACGGUACCGUAAGAAUAAGCACCGGCUAACUACGUGCCAGCCGCCGCAGUAA